AUAUUCUUUAUUCAAAGAAAGAAAGAAGUAAAAUAGCUUUAUCUCAAUAUAUCUCUCCCAAAUGCGUGUGGAAGCUCGAACAAGAGUGACCUAUAUGGAUACUCACUUUCUUUAUAUUCAUCGAUUUUCUAUGGUCGCAAUUGGGUUAUGGCCUUACCAUCGAACAAUGCUUGUUCAACUUCAGUGUUCUGUGUUUUCUCUUACUUUGAUUAGCUUUAUUAUAUUUCAGCUUACAACAUUUCUAACUACAGAAUGGACUUACGACAUUAUUGUUGAAAUUCUCUCUAUAGUACUUUUAAGUCUUGUGUGCGCAAUACUUUAUAAUUCUUUUUGGAUCAACACGCAUGUUGUGAAGCGUGUAUUGAAAACUCUUCAGUACAUCUGCAGUGACUUAAAGGACGAAAACGAAAUUGCCAUAAUAAAUAGAUACGGAUACAUUGCAAAAUGUGCUACAAUUGGAAUGACAUUGUUCAUGAUGUGCUUUUUCUUCAUCGUAACUCUAUUACCAAUUCUGCCGCGGAUUUUCGGCAUCUUUUUCCUCGCAAAUAAAUCUGAGCCAUAUCGCAAUAUAUAUAUCAGGACUGAAUAUUUUGUCGAUGAAGAAAAAUAUUUUUAUUUUAUUUUGCUGCAUCUGUACGCAGUCCUCUACAUAGCUGCAGGUACAAUAUUAGCAACACAAACAGCUAUGCUGGGUUACUUUAUAUAUUGUUGUGGAUUAUUUAACAUUGCCAGUUACCGUAUCGAACAGGCAAUGCGGAUUAUUGACGAAAUAACUAAUCGGACGAACAAGAGGCAGGUUGACAAAAAGAUAAGUCAUGCAGUGGACAUUCAUCGCACAACUCUUAAGGUUAUUGAAUUCUAUCUAUAUAACUUCGAGGACACAUGGUUUCUUCUAAUAGUGCUAGUUGUAAUUUGCUUGAGCCUUCAUCUGUUUGGAAUCUUUCAAGCCAUUAGCAUUGUAUUUAAGAUGGAAAAUUUUGUAUUACACUUUAGUUUUACGCUUGGCAUUUUACUAUGUACAUUUGCAGGCAACUACAUUGGUGAAGCAAUUACAGAACACUAUAAUUACAUAUUUUCAACCGCAUAUAACGUUCGAUGGUACGAUGCACCUAUACGCGUGCAAAGAUUAAUAUUUUUUCUUUUGCAAAGAGGUACUAUGUCUUAUGCCAUGAAAUUUGGUGGUGUUUAUACACUAUCUUUAGAAAACUUUGCCACGGUAAAACUAUUAUAUAUUAUGUGUCAAUACGUAUAUAUAAUAUACAUAGUAUAUGUUUAUACUGAAAACUAAAAUGUCAUUUUCAUUGCAGCUUUCAACUACAUCAAUAUCGUAUUUUACUAUUAUAUAUUCUAUACAAAAGUGAUAUUAGUAUAAAUCAGCUAAUGUUAUGUUAAAACCACCUGUUAAACUCGAAGAUGGGUUUUUUAAAGUUCCAUUUUGAAAUAACUAGUGCUUGAAAUUGUUAGAAAAUGGAUAAAGAGAAUGAAAUAUUUCCAUUAUAUGUUUUAAUUUCAUUACUCCGCAUGCACAUUAAGAUGAACUCAAAAAUUAAAAGAUUAACCUCAAGGAUCAUGAUGGCCACGGGACACAGUUUCGAAUUGCAAUACGUAUGCGGCAUUCAGGGCAAAAGUUGUCUUUCAUAAAGCUGGAAUAAUAAUUGAAGCUUUCUCUACAAAAUAUCUUAUUGUUAGACAAGGGGUUCCGUAGAACUUUACCGACUCCCAUUGGAAUUUCCCAAUAAAAGGUCUAGAAGGUUUCCAUAUAAAAGUUUCGCCAGACAUUCUCUUAUCAAACAGAUUGUAUAUUCCUUCUGCUUUUUUAGUGUUUCUAAUAACGAAUAUAUGGUUAUACAACCACAUAUUAUCAUUAAAUAUCAAAAAUAGUAAACAUUAAAAAACCGAUUGUAUGUUGCAAUUCAAUAAAUACGUGUUUUCCAAAAACUUUGAGAAUGCAAUUCAACAUUUGGUUCAAACGUAAUAAGAUAUAGUGAUAUAUGAUAUGUUAUAUAAUUACCAUCAUAUCAAAACUGACGUGUACGUACGAUCAGCUAGGUAGCACUCCUUUUAAGCAACAUGUGUACUCUACGAAUGCGCGGAUUACAAUGAAGAACGCGAAGACGUACUGCUUGGAAAAAUCAAUUGCGCUUGCGCGAACUUCGGUCAAAACAUCAUGCAAUGACUAUUUUUCUGUGAGAAAUAAAUAUUGUACUUUCGUUGUGGCGCCAAAUCGAUCGAUUAAUCGCCCACUUUUCUCUUCCUCGUAAAUUGCGAGCAAAUUAUUUCUAUAGCAGCUUACAUUACAUCUUGAUAUUUUAUGUUACUUUCGUCGGUAUAUUUCUGUUAACUUAGGGAAUUUUACAUUGGAAAAUACGCAA
rnacentral:misc_RNA from 1 species